rnacentral:misc_RNA from 1 species
UUUCCGUAGGUGAACCUGCGGAAGGAUCAUUAUCGAGUUUUGACUCGGUUGUAGCUGGCCUUCCGAGGCAUGUGCACGCCCUGCUCAUCCACUCUACACCUGUGCACUUACUGUGGGUAUCAGAUCGUGAAGCGUGCUCUUUUACCGGAGCUUGUGAAGCGUGUCUGUGCCUGCGUUUAUCACAAACACUAUAAAGUAUCAGAAUGUGUAUUACGAUGUGACGCAUCUAUAUACAACUUUCAGCAACGGAUCUCUUGGCUCUC